rnacentral:rRNA from 1 species
CAUGCAGUCGACGAGAACGGCCUUUAGCUUGCUAAAGGUGUCAGCUAAGUGGCGGACGGGUGAGUAAUGUAUAGCUAACGUGCCCCUUGGAGAGGGAUAACGUCUGGAAACGGGCGCUAAUACCUCAUACUCCUUUUCUGUUAAUUCAGAAUUGGGAAAUGGUUUUUCCGCCAAGGGAUCGGGCUAUAUGGUAUCAGGUAGUUGGUGGGGUAAGAGCCCACCAAGCCGAUGACGCCUAGCUGGUCUGAGAGGAUGAUCAGCCACACUGGAACUGAGACACGGUCCAGACUCCUACGGGAGGCAGCAGUGGGGAAUAUUGCACAAUGGAGGAAACUCUGAUGCAGCAACGCCGCGUGGAGGAUGACGCAUUUCGGUGUGUAAACUCCUUUUAUAUGGGAAGAUAAUGACGGUACCAUAUGAAUAAGCACCGGCUAACUCCGUGCCAGCAGCCGCGGUAAUACGGAGGGUGCAAGCGUUACUCGGAAUCACUGGGCGUAAAGCGCGCGCAGGCGGGCUGAUAAGCUGGAUGUGAAAUCCUAUGGCUUAACCAUAGAACUGCAUCCAGAACUGUCAGUCUAGAGUCUGGGAGGGGAAGAUGGAAUUAGUUGUGUAGGGGUAAAAUCCGUAGAGAUAACUAGGAAUACCAAAAGCGAAGGCGAUCUUCUGGAACAGUACUGACGCUGAGGCGCGAAAGCGUGGGGGAGCAAACAGGAUUAGAUACCCUGGUAGUCCACGCCCUAAACGAUGAAUGUUAGUCGUUGGUGUCCUAGUGACAUCAGUGAUGCAGCUAACGCAUUAAACAUUCCCGCCUGGGGAGUACGGUCGCAGA